rnacentral:rRNA from 1 species
AUUGAACGCUGGCGGCAUGCUUUACACAUGCAAGUCGAACGGCAGCGCGGGCCUCGGCCUGGCGGCGAGUGGCGAACGGGUGAGUAAUACAUCGGAACGUGCCCAGUAGUGGGGGAUAGCUCGGCGAAAGCCGGAUUAAUACCGCAUACGACCUGAGGGUGAAAGCGGGGGAUCUUCGGACCUCGCGCUAUUGGAGCGGCCGAUGGCAGAUUAGCUAGUUGGUGGGGUAAAGGCCUACCAAGGCGACGAUCUGUAGCUGGUCUGAGAGGACGACCAGCCACACUGGGACUGAGACACGGCCCAGACCCCUACGGGAGGCAGCAGUGGGGAAUUUUGGACAAUGGGCGAAAGCCUGAUCCAGCAAUGCCGCGUGUGUGAUGAAGGCCUUCGGGUUGUAAAGCACUUUUGGCGGGAACGAAAAGGACUGUGCCAAUACCACGGUUCGAUGACGGUACCCGCAGAAUAAGCACCGGCUAACUACGUG